rnacentral:rRNA from 1 species
UUGACCUCGGAUCAGGUAGGAAUACCCGCUGAACUUAAGCAUAUCAAUAAGCGGAGGAAAAGAAACCAACAGGGAUUGCCUCAGUAACGGCGAGUGAAGCGGCAACAGCUCAAAUUUGAAAUCUGGCCUCGGCCCGAGUUGUAAUUUGUAGAGGAAGCUUUUGGUGCGGCACCGACCGAGUCCCCUGGAACGGGGCGCCAUAGAGGGUGAGAGCCCCGUAUGGUUGGACGCCUAUCCUCUGUAAAGCUCCUUCGACGAGUCGAGUAGUUUGGGAAUGCUGCUCAAAAUGGGAGGUAAAUUUCUUCUAAAGCUAAAUACUGGCCAGAGACCGAUAGCGCACAAGUAGAGUGAUCGAAAGAUGAAAAGCACCUUGAAAAGGGGGUUAAAUAGCACGUGAAAUUGUUGAAAGGGAAGCGCUUGUGACCAGACUUGCGCCCCGCCGAUCAUCCGGGGUUCUCCCCGGUGCACUCGGCGGGGCUCAGGCCAGCAUCGGUUUUCGUGGGGGGACAAAGGCCCCGGGAACGUAGCUCCUCCGGGAGUGUUAUAGCCCGGGGCGUAAUGCCCUCGCGGGGACCGAGGACCGCGCUUCGGCAAGGAUGC